rnacentral:rRNA from 1 species
AGUAACGCGUGGGUAACCUGCCCUUAAGUCUGGGAUACCAUUUGGAAACAGAUGCUAAUACCGGAUAAAAGCUACUUUCGCAUGAAAGAAGUUUAAAAGGCGGCGUAAGCUGUCGCUAAAGGAUGGACCUGCGAUGCAUUAGCUAGUUGGUAAGGUAACGGCUUACCAAGGCGAUGAUGCAUAGCCGAGUUGAGAGACUGAUCGGCCACAUUGGGACUGAGACACGGCCCAAACUCCUACGGGAGGCAGCAGUA